AACGUAGGACACAAGCGUUAUCCGGAGUUACUGGGCGUAAAGGGCGUGUAGGCGGACCUAUAAGUCUAUUCUGAAAGCUCCUGGCUAAACUGGGAGAGGCGAAUGGAGACUGUAGAUCUAGAGUGAGGAAGAGGAAAGUGGAAUUCCGCGUGUAGUGGUGAAAUGCGUAGAGAUGCGGAGGAACACCAGUGGCGAAAAGCGACUUUCUGGUCCUUAACUGACGCUGAGGCGCGAAAGCAUGGGGAGCGAACGGG
rnacentral:rRNA from 1 species